CGUAUAACACUAUUUUCCGCAUGGAAGAAAGUUGAAAGGCGCUUUUGCGUCACUGAUGGAUGGACCCGCGGUGCAUUAGCUAGUUGGUGAGGUAACGGCUCACCAAGGCAACGAUGCAUAGCCGACCUGAGAGGGUGAUCGGCCACACUGGGACUGAGACACGGCCCAGACUCCUACGGGAGGCAGCAGUAGGGAAUCUUCGGCAAUGGACGAAAGUCUGACCGAGCAACGCCGCGUGAGUGAAGAAGGUUUUCGGAUCGUAAAACUCUGUUGUUAGAGAAGAACAAGGAUGAGAGUAAAAUGUUCAUCCCUUGACGGUAUCUAACCAGAAAGCCACGGCUAACUACGUGCCAGCAGCCGCGGUAAUACGUAGGUGGCAAGCGUUGUCCGGAUUUAUUGGGCGUAAAGCGAGCGCAGGCGGUUUCUUAAGUCUGAUGUGAAAGCCCCCGGCUCAACCGGGGAGGGUCAUUGGAAACUGGGAGACUUGAGUGCAGAAGAGGAGAGUGGAAUUCCAUGUGUAGCGGUGAAAUGCGUAGAUAUAUGGAGGAACACCAGUGGCGAAGGCGGCUCUCUGGUCUGUAACUGACGCUGAGGCUCGAAAGCGUGGGGAGCGAACAGGAUUAGAUACCCUGGUAGUCCACGCCGUAAACGAUGAGUGCUAAGUGUUGGAGGGUUUCCGCCCUUCAGUGCUGCAGCAAACGCAUUAAGCACUCCGCCUGGGGAGUACGACCGCAAGGUUGAAACUCAAAGGAAUUGACGGGGGCCCGCACAAGCGGUGGAGCAUGUGGUUUAAUUCGAAGCAACGCGAAGAACCUUACCAGGUCUUGACAUCCUUUGACCACUCUAGAGAUAGAGCUUCCCCUUCGGGGGCAAAGUGACAGGUGGUGCAUGGUUGUCGUCAACUCGUGUCGUGAGAUGUUGGGGUUAAUUCCCGCAACGACCGCAACCCUUAUUGUUAAUUGCCAUCCAUUAGUUUGGGCACUCUUGCGGAGACUGCCCGGUGAAAAACCCGAAGAAAAGUUGUGAAUAACGUCAAAUCAUCAAAGCCCC
rnacentral:rRNA from 1 species